GACGAACGCUGGCGGCGUGCCUAAUACAUGCAAGUAGAACGCUGAAGAGAGGAGCUUGCUCUUCUUGGAUGAGUUGCGAACGGGUGUGUAACGCGUAGGUAACCUGCCUUGUAGCGGGGGAUAACUAUUGGAAACGAUAGCUAAUACCGCAUAACAAUGGAUGACACAUGUCAUUUAUUUGAAAGGGGCAAUUGCUCCACUACAAGAUGGACCUGCGUUGUAUUAGCUAGUAGGUGAGGUAAUGGCUCACCUAGGCGACGAUACAUAGCCGACCUGAGAGGGUGAUCGGCCACACUGGGACUGAGACACGGCCCAGACUCCUACGGGAGGCAGCAGUAGGGAAUCUUCGGCAAUGGGGGCAACCCUGACCGAGCAACGCCGCGUGAGUGAAGAAGGUUUUCGGAUCGUAAAGCUCUGUUGUAAGUCAAGAACGGGUGUGAGAGUGGAAAGUUCACACUGUGACGGUAGCUAACCAGAAAGGGACGGCUAACUACGUG
rnacentral:rRNA from 1 species